UACGUAGGCAGCGAGCGUUGUUCGGAGUUACUGGGCGUAAAGCGUGCGUAGGCGGUGUCUUAAGUUUGUUGUGAAAUCUCCCGGGCUUAACCGGGAGGGUGCGGCGAAUACUGAGAUGCUGGAGUGCCGGAGAGGUAAGCGGAAUUCCUGGUGUAGCGGUGAAAUGCGUAGAUAUCAGGAGGAACACCUGCGGUGUAGACGGCUUACUGGACGGUAACUGACGCUGAGGCACGAAAGCGUGGGUAGCAAACAGG
rnacentral:rRNA from 1 species